GGACAUUUUAUUUCCAACCCAUUGCUUCCUGGUCUCAUUCCAAAGAAGUAGUCCAGAGUUUACAAAGUCUGUACUGCUCCCAAUAUUGCUGUGAGAAUUUUGUGACUGGGCUGGUGGCAUGCUUCUCUGGGACCAAACUGUACUGUUGUCCAUUUCACAUGUGCUAGAGCUCGGGCAAUUUUCUGGUAAGCAUUGUUUCUUUGCUUCUUGGUCUUUAACUCUCAGACCUUUAGACGGCCCAUCCAUUGCAUUACCUAGUGCAGAUGCAGUGUAGCAUCCAUGACAGCUUCUUCU
rnacentral:misc_RNA from 1 species